UACGUAGGGCGCAAGCGUUAACCGGAAUUAUUGGGCGUAAAGAGCUCGUAGGCGGUUUGUCGCGUCUGCCGUGAAGGUCCGGGGCUCAACUCCGGAUCUGCGGUGGGUACGGGCAGACUAGAGUGAUGUAGGGGAGACUGGAAUUCCUAGUGUAGCGGUGAAAUGCGCAGAUAUCAGGAGGAACACCGAUGGCGAAGGCAGGUCUCUGGGCAUUAACUGACGCUGAGGAGCGAAAGCAUGGGGAGCGAACAGG
rnacentral:rRNA from 1 species